UACGUAGGGGGCGAGCGUUGUCCGGAUUUAUUGGGCGUAAAGAGCGUGUAGGCGGCCAGGGAGGUGGGUUGUGAAAACUGGAGGCUCAACCUUCAGACGGCGACCCAAACCCCCUGGCUAGAGUCCGGAAGAGGCGAGUGGAAUUCCUGGUGUAGCGGUGAAAUGCGCAGAUAUCAGGAGGAACACCGAUGGCGAAGGCAGCUCGCUGGGACGGUACUGACGCUGAGGCGCGAAAGCGUGGGGAGCAAACAGG
rnacentral:rRNA from 1 species